GCCGAGUUGGGUUACUCCAGCUUGUGACCCAAGUGGGGGCUUCAGAGUGAUAGAACAGCUUUCGGGCUUGCUGGGUUGGACUGUAGCUGCUAUCUGCGGGCCUGCCCGCUCCAAGUUGGGAGUUGAGCCUCGAGUCUUGAGCGAAGGCCCAAGUUUCGUGGCUCCUAGACUUGAGGGCACAGCGUGAGGCUGGUUUAACAGAGCAGCGAACACCUCAGGCUCCCAACAGUGGAGGGAUAACAGGUUGCUGCACCCACAGUCCACAAUGGCCUUGUGAGCCCAUUUGCUUGGACCAUCACUCUU
rfam:Glycine soja cultivar W05 scaffold2723_2, whole genome shotgun sequence.